AUGCCGAUCUCAUCCUCCCUCUCCGCGCGCCUCGGCCCUGGCCCCGCGCCCGCGCGCGCACGAUGGAGUCCUUACGCCCGCCCCUCCGAACCCCGCAGGAGCGGCGCUGGAAGCGGCUGCGCCAAGGCCUCCCGCCCGCCCCUCCGCCUCGAACCCGCGACGGCGAGACUCCUCGGCCCCGCGCGGAGGGCCGAAUCCCGCGGAUCGAGCCGCGGCGCCGCGUUCGGCACCGCAGCCCCUACACCUGCACGACGGCGGCUUGGAGACCUGAAGAAGUCGGACCGGAAGACGGAUCCCAAGCCGGCGGGUACGAAUCCAGAGCCGAUCCAGGAGCCGCGCGUCGAGGAGAGCCGUGGCUGCGGCGGUUUCGCUUUCCUCUGCGCCCUCGCUGGACACAAGGAGGCUAUUACUGGAAUCUCUAUGCCGAUGGGGUCCGACAAGCUCUACUCUGGCAGUGCCGAUGGCUCUGUUCGCGUAUGGGACGGCAACUCUGGCAAGGUAGCUGGGCUAUCCGCUCUCGGGAUUCCUCUCAGACUCUUUAUGCUCGGUUCACUUUUGGGGUCGUGUCUGCGUUGA
rnacentral:rRNA from 1 species